GGCUGGGACACAGAGUCAAUCAAGCACACCCAACCCCCAGCAGUGUGGGUAUCUGCAGUGAUGGGCUGGGACACAGAGUCAAUCAGGCACACCCAACCCCCAGCAGUGUGGGUAUCUGCAGUGAUGGGCUGGGACACAGAGUCAAUCAGGCACACCCAACCCCCAGCAGUGUGGGUAUCUGCAGUGAUGGGCUGGGACACAGAGUCAAUCAGGCACACCCAACCCCCAGCAGUGUGGGUAUCUGAGGUGAUGGUCUAAUGAGAGCCCAAGCCAGUGGACAGACACAGGGGUAAUUAAAGGUUCACACAUGGGGAGUAAUGUCUCCAGUCCUGAGAGGCAAGGUGCGGCAAAUGCAGUCAUUAUCAGCACCUCAUUAUGCAAAACCUGAUGAGCUCCGUCUCUCCACAUUAAUCAAAGCAGACAGGCAGGCAGAUGCAUGCAUACUAUGGAAAAUUGGCAGCUGUGUGUUUCCAAUGAAGCAGUACAUCUAUGAUGGAAAUACUGCCUUGGGUCCAUAUUGAAUUGCAUAUAUUCUUCCGAGUUUCACAUUGGAAUUUUGGGGCUCUCUUGUUAUUCUAAGCAGUUGGAUGCGGCUUAAGUACAGUGUAAGAUACAACACACUGAGGCCAUUGUUGUCCCAUUGAAUAUGGGAGACAGAAAGAGUGUGACUAUUGAAUCUCAUGGCUCAGAGCUGGUAGGUGGGAGGACGGUGCAGAUUUUCUAGCCAGGAUCGUAGUGGGGGGGCUUGGCUGAACUCCCUAUGUUCUGAAAUGCCAUUAUAGUAGGAGAUUCAGUCAUUCCUCACUGAGUUGUAUGCACACUCACUCCUCUGUCCUCUACCACUGCAGAAAUCCACUCCAAAUCUCCUCAGGUGGGAGAUUUAAAAAGUGCACACACAUACACAAAAGCUUAGUCAAGUUACUCAUGGUUUAGCAUUUUGAAAGCCUCCGUAAUAUGGCCUUGAAUAUUGAUUGGGUUUGUUGGUUCUGUUGAAGUCCUUCCGUUGUUUUCAGUGUAUUAAAAUAGUUAUGGUUGAGGAUCAUUGGAGAUUCAUUGGCUUUGUUUUUUUUUGGUAUCAUCAAAGUAUUUAUUCUUUCCGUGGCUGUGCAGCAGGAAUGGAAUUUUUUUUAUGUUUUUUCUAAAAUCAUUAAAUUGAUUUUGUGUGUAACUAACUUUUUGUUUUUUUUAAAGCAAAAAAAAAACCCGAAUAGACAUUUUCCCAUAAAAAGUAUUGAUUUAAUAUUUAUUCACUUAUUGUUAUCCAUUUUAAAAUGUUCUCUCCCUCACACCACACACACAUACACUUCAAAUGCACAGAAACAGAACAUUGAACAGUCUUUUAACAUCAAACUUGAACAAUCACACGCACACCUCUCUGUCCCUCCCUCGCCUUAGAAUCCCUCAUCAGAAACUGAAUUGUAUGAUGCAGAUCACCUCCUUGUGGCACUUGGAGACUUUGUGGUCCUUGAUGGUGUCAAAUUUUUUGGUGCCCACCAUAAAGCUGUUUGUCUUGCUCCUGGCCGAAGCGUGUUACCGACAGUGGGAGCAAAACACUGACUGACUGACUGACUGACUGACUGACGGUAGUUUUUGAUGAAAGUAGGCUAAUCACGUAAUUCCUCACUGUUGGCUCUUCUUCACUUCUCAUUGAGAAAUCCCCUUUUAGCUUUUUGUUCAUGAACUCAGUUGUCUCCUAGCCUAGGCCUACUGACAUCAGCUGCUGUUUUUACAUCCGCGAUGUAAAGCCACACGGUUGUUAAAACAGAUUAGGUUACUCAACUUUGUAAAUGAACAAUUGACUGAGAAGGAAGCACUCUCCAGCUUUUGAAUUUUGCGUCCAAUCAAAUUGGCGUUCAAUGGCCCGAACCUUACUCUGAUUCGGUUCGAGAUGCAGGAGGAGAUGCAACUAACUUUUUACCUGACCGCUAGUAAGUAGCAACACUUCUUAAGUAGGCUCCUGAGGACUGAGUUGACUUUUUCACUGAACAAUUCAAUUGCGUCAAUUACAGUUGCAAUCGGAAAUAUUCAACCCCCAAAAAGAUUGUAAUGAUUUACCAAUGAAAGUUUUUUUCAAAGAGCUAGAUUUUGCUUUGGAUAACUUCCUUAUCAGUUGAGUGAAACAUAAAAUCAACAAAGAAAAUGUAUGAUGUAUUUGUGUGUAACAGAUAAAUAUUUUUUGCCUUUUUGUCAUAUAUUUGUAUUAUCCUUGACACAUCACUAUAAUGUCUUUUGAGGUGAGGGGGUUGAAUAUUUACGAUUGCAACUGUAUGUUUGUAAAAAGCACCCUUUGUUCAUCCGCCACCCUGGUUGGUUGGUUGAUCGAUCACAUUCACUGGGUUCAUCAGACUUUAGACUGUAGUAUUUUUGUACAUAUAGUCCAUCAGACUCCAUAAGCUCUCAAUAGCAUAAUUUGUCAUCAGAACAUUAUGGUGGAGGGUGUAUUUGUAUUGCAAAACACACAUCUUAUUUUGUCAUUUUGUGUGUUUGAUACCUAUACUAAUAGUGCAAAAUCCAUUUUAAGGAUUUAACUUUUAACACCCAGCACCCGUGGAACCUCAUGAUCAGAUAAACAGGCCUGAUCCCAGAUCAGGCAGUGCAGUGGUCACGAGAGGGGCUUCAGUUCCAGGCUUCAGUGCUGCAGUGCAGUGGUCACGAGAGGGGCUUCAGUUCCAGUUCCAGGCUUCAGUGCUGCAGUGCAGUGCAGUGCAGUG
ensembl:lncRNA